GUGCUGGUGGGUCCUGAUUCUGUGCUGGUGGGUUUGUUUACAUUGUAUCAGAACGGCAAUAAAACGACUGUUUUGUUGCUUAAUUUUUCUCUGAUGUGUCAUAAGUACCAUGCAAAGUAUAUUACAUACAAUUAUAUGUGCAAAAGUCAUGCAAGUUCGUUAAACGGAAUUGUCCUGACGCUGUGCUGGUGAUAAGAAAAACGGUCCUGGUUCUGUGCUCCUAUGUCCUGG
rnacentral:lncRNA from 1 species